CCUACGGGAGGCAGCAGUGGGGAAUAUUGGGCAAUGGGCGCAAGCCUGACCCAGCAAUGCCGCGUGAAGGAAGAAGGCCCUCGGGUUGUAAACUUCUUUUAUCAGGGACGAAGGAUGUGACGGUACCUGAUGAAUAAGCUCCGGCUAACUACGUGCCAGCAGCCGCGGUAAUACGGAGGGAGCAAGCGUUAUCCGGAUUUACUGGGUGUAAGGGGCGCGUAGGCGGGAUGGCAAGUCAGAUGUGAAAUCCAGGGGCUCAACCCCUGAACUGCAUUUGAAACUGUCGUUCUUGAGUACUGGAGAGGUUGACGGAAUUCCUAGUGUAGCGGUGAAAUGCGUAGAUAUUAGGAGGAACACCAGUGGCGAAGGCGGUCAACUGGACAGCAACUGACGCUGAGGCGCGAAAGCGUGGGGAGCAAACAGGAUUAGAUACCCCGGUAGUC
rnacentral:rRNA from 1 species